rnacentral:rRNA from 1 species
CCUACGGGAGGCAGCAGUGGGGAAUAUUGGACAAUGGGGGCAACCCUGAUCCAGCCACGCCGCGUGAGUGAUGAAGGCCUUCGGGUCGUAAAGCUCUGUGGGGAGGGACGAACGUCCCGCAUGACCUGCGGGGGUGACGGUACCUCCUUAGCAAGCACCGGCUAACUUCGUGCCAGCAGCCGCGGUAAUACGAAGGGUGCAAACGUUGCUCGGAAUCAUUGGGCGUAAAGCGCACGUAGGCGGCUUUGCAAGACAGGUGUGAAAUCCCCGGGCCUAACCUGGGAACUGCAUUUGUGACUGCAUGGCUAGAGUUUGUCAGAGGGGGGUGGAAUUCCACGUGUAGCAGUGAAAUGCGUAGAGAUGUGGAAGAACACCGAUGGCGAAGGCAGCCCCCUGGGAUGUGACUGACGCUCAUGUACGAAAGCGUGGGGAGCAAACAGGAUUAGAUACCCUGGUAGUCCACGCCCUAAACGAUGUCGACUAGUUGUUGGGGGUUUGACACUCUCAGUAACGAAGCUAACGCGUGAAGUCGACCGCCUGGGGAGUACGGCCGCAAGGUUAAAACUCAAAGGAAUUGACGG